GAUCAACGCUGGCGGCGUGCCUAACACAUGCAAGUCGAACGAUGAAGAUUAAACGAUUUCUUCGGAAUGAACUUAAUUGGAUUAGUGGCGGACGGGUGAGUAACGCGUGAGUAACCUGCCUUGUACAAGGGGAUAGCCGUUGGAAACGACGAAUAAUACCCUAUGACAUCAAAUAAUCGCAUGAUAAUUUGAUCAAAGAUUUAUCGGUAUAAGAUGGACUCGCGUCUGAUUAGCUAGUUGGUAGAGUAAAAGCCUACCAAGGCAACGAUCAGUAGCCGGCUUGAGAGAGUGUACGGCCACAUUGGGACUGAGACACGGCCCAGACUCCGGCGGGAGGCAGCAGUGGGGAAUUUUGCACAAUGGGGGAAACCCUGAUGCAGCGACGCCGCGUGAUUUAGAAGGCCUUCGGGUUGUAAAAAUCUUUUGUAUGGGAAGAAAAUGACAGUACCAUACGAAUAAGGACCGGCUAAUUACGUG
rnacentral:rRNA from 1 species